rnacentral:tRNA from 1 species
GCGGGUGUGGCGAAAUUGGCAGACGCACCAGAUUUAGGUUCUGGCGCCGCAAGGCGUGGGGGUUCAAGUCCCUUCACCCGCACCA